UACGGGAGGCAGCAGUGAGGAAUAUUGGUCAAUGNCCGAGAGGCUGAACCAGCCAAGUAGCGUGCAGGAAGAUCGGCCCUCUGGGUUGUAAACUGCUUUUAUAGGGGAAUAAAGUGCUUGCACGCGUGGAGUUUUGUAUGUNCCCUAUGAAUAAUGACCCGGCUAAUUACCGUGCCAGCAGCCGCNG
rnacentral:rRNA from 1 species